GUUUCUCCUCACUCUCUUCCUCACAGUAAACCUGACUUCCACCUUAUCUCCAUAAACAUGGACCCACACCACCACUAUGUGAUUCCCCUGCUCCACACAGCCAGCUCCAUCCCUCUCACUUGCAGACACAACUCCGCCAUCAUCUCACUUGCAACUGCAUCGACAACGCCAAAAAAUCUGGAUUCAUGAGCAUGGAGCUGGUCAUGGGCGAAUAAAAAAGUCCCAUUCCAGUCUUGACGAUAAGAGGGAAAGGGUUCUAUGCAUCACUGAGAUAGUAAGCGACUUGGAUGGAGGAUCCAGAGUCGAAGAAAGUAGCGAGAUUAAGAGUGAGCACCUCGGACUCGACGGCGAUUAAGAGUGGCUUUUGAUCUUCACAGAACUUUAACGAAGUUGUUAAAGUAGCUUCUUUUUUUCUUUUUAAACGAAACCUGAAAACUUAAAUAAAAGGGUUAAUUCAAACAUCUCAUCUAGCCCAUACUUGAAUUCAAAACCAGAGUCCAAUAUAUUUUGAAAGCUGAUUUCCAUGUACAUUUCAAAAGGUUUGAUUUCCAUGUGGAGGCAAUAUAUAGUGCAGUAGGUGAUGUAAUCAAUUCUUCUUGAAAUCCAUGGGCUCUUACAAAUCCUUCUAAGAGAAAGCCAAUGGAAUGAUUAGCACUUGAGGAAGCAAAAUUUUGGCGAGUAUGAUAGCACUUUCCUUCCGCAAGAAGCCUUGAAUUGCUGGCUAACCACAGGAAUGAGAACCUGCCUAUCAUAGCAAUGAGAAGCUCCUGUCAUGUUGUCAAUGACCAAUAAAUUUAGCUCUUUGAAACACUUACUGUUACUUCUCGGAGUCGGAGAGCUAAAACACAUGUUCACAUCCAAUUCUCCAAUUCAAUUUUUAAUUACUUUUUUCUUUUCUGGUCUUUUUUCCUCGACCUGUUCAUUUGUGGAUUGAAAGUGUACACUCACUUUAAUUUUAUUAUUUUUUUUCAA